GGUGGCAUGGCCGAGCGGCUAGGCACCGGUCUGCAAAACCGUUUAGAUGAGUUCGACUCUCAUUGCCACCU
rnacentral:tRNA from 1 species